CGCCCUGCCCUCCCAGGUUUCCGUCGCGAAGGACGCGGCGUCCGUUGGUUGUCAGGCUGUUGUUGUCAGGUUGUUGGCUGCGGCGAGGUCGCUUCCGCCACCUCUGCUAUUUCGGGUCAAGGUAGCAGCCGUCGCAGCUGCGGUCGCCACCACAGUCACCAGCUUCGCUGUGUGUGAGCCAGGGCUCCAGCGGGCGACUCCUCAGCGCCUGUGACGGGAGGCCUGAGAGACGGGGUGUGGGGAGAGGACGAACUGAGGAGGAGGAGGCCGGCGCGGCUAUGAGGGAGGCGCAGGGGCGAGCCGGGAGGCGGCUCUAAGGUGAAAGAUGCUGGCGGGGAGGCCGGGAGCCCAGAGCGCGGACCCCGGCCUGGGCCCUGAAUCCGCGGACAUCCUCGGCAGAGCCCCCCUCACCCUUCGGGAGAGCGGCGGGCGUCACCGACCCGGCGCUUACUUAGAUAUGAAAAUCCAUCUAGAAAAAAAUUUAGAAGAAGAACGCCAAAUAUUACUGCAGCAACAAAAAAUGUGUCGAAAUCGAGCACGUAAAUAUUUUGUGGAAUCAAACCGGAGAAAAAAAGCUUUUGAAGAAAAACGAAAAGAACAUGAAGAAAGGGAACACCAAAUUAGAGAACAAAUACUCCAACAAAGAAAACAGAAGUUUGAAGAAGUUACUGAAAAAUUCCAACGUGCCCACAUCCCUCUUUCUCAACGGAAGAGAGCAGUUUUCCAAAAACCUGUUCCUCCAUUAGAAGAGGCCCUUAAACAAAUUCAAGAAUCCAACUUGAAAUCAGAAGUACGCCUUCCCUUUUCCUACAGACCAACAAUAAGCCAGAGAGCUAUAGAUCCUACUUUGUCUUCAGCAUUGUCAAAAAAUGAUCACAAGCAUCAGAAACAUCUCAUAUCCAAAAUCAACUGGGAUACGGAAAUGAAGGAAAACAACAUGGCAAACAUAACUACAAACAAAAAUGUGUUCCAGCUUAAACUGGAGGAAACUCAGAAACUCCUAGAAGAUCAGCAUUUAAGCAGUUUGCAAAGAUUUUGUGAUGAAGUUAAGCAGAUAACCAAUUCUGAAACCCUUUCAAGUAUAGACAGUCUUGAGGCUGGAGAGCAUGAAGAAAUAUACUUUGCACUUAAUAAGGAGUCUGCUCCACCAAUCCAACAGAAUUCUGUUUCUCUCAAAUCAUCAAAUCUGCAGUCAACUAAUCUAAACAACCUUGAUGAAGAUAAACUGUCCUUAUCUAAAACUCAACAUAUAAAUGAUUGGCUUACAAAUUUAGAUGCCCAAAAUACUCAGUCUGUCACACCUUCCUCAGAUAUUUUAAGUAAAUCUAGUGUUUUGCCUUCGUGGGAACAUUUUAAUAAUAAAGAACAAAAUCAGUCUGCUUUUUGUAGAACUGUAGAAACAGCCACAAGUACUUCUAAUAAUUCAGUAGCUUUUGUAUAUAGUCCACCCAUUGUUGUACUAGAUAAAAAAUCUGAAAAAAACUCUGGAAAUAGCAUGAUGAAGACAAGUGACUUCACUUCUGGAACACUCAAAAAUGAGAAGCCAUUAGUUACUGAGACACCAACAUUUAAAUUCAGCAAAGCCUGGACCACUCCAGAUUCUCAAACCCCGGAGGUGUCUACAUUUUCAGACCAAGAUAAAUAUUGUCAAUUAACUCAAGAAAAUAGAACUGCUUCAAUUCCUACUUCAUUUGUACCAAUGGCGACACCUUUAGUCUUGCCAUUUAAUAGACAGUAUGCUAGACCAUUAGCAAAGAACAAUAUACACAUAAAAGAAAUUGAUCCAGUACAGUGUUCUGAUAAGCUAGAUGAAUUAAAAGAUAUUAAAGAUGAAAAUAUAAAACAUUUUAAUUAUGAAAAAAAAGAGUUGCCUUUAUUUUCUGACAGUUUUCAAGCUGCCAAUAUACCUCAAAAUUUUGAUUCAAAAGAUAAAAACCAAAAAAUAGCUGAAACAGCAACAUCAUUGUGUAAUGUAAUUUCUAAUUAUGACUUAUUUGAUGAGCACAAGAAAAUGAAAUACAACAUUCAUGAGAGAAAUGGUGUGAAGUUUCUUAAAAGUAUUUUAAAGAAAGAAUCUAAAUAUGAACAUGAUUAUCUUAAGGCACUACUCAUAAAGCAAGGCUUUAAGUUCAGAAAUAAAAAAGCAGCAGCUAUCAGAGAUAGUAUUGAAUUAACAAAGGAAAAAGAAAAAGGUACAGAAAUCCUAAAGACUACUAAAAAAUUGAGGUGGUUUGAUGAAACUAUUCAUAUAGGAAGCAGUGCUGAAGACACUCACUCACUGAAGUACAGAACAGGAACUACUCAACAGUGGUCUCAACAAUUUCAUAGUCAAAGUGGUCCUGGCAGCAACGCAAUUAAUGGUCCUGCCUGUCCUGUGCAUUCUGCUGAUAGAAAUAAGUCCAAGGACGUCUCUGAAAAUGUCUCUACAUUAGGAGGAUCUGGAAAAGACCAUGUGCCUUUGAACUGUUUUAUACCCUCAGGUUAUAACUUUACUAAGCAAGCCUGGCCAGUCUCCAAAGAAGAAAGUAUAAGUCCUGUACAUAAUGGUGGCUCAAAAGCUCCAAAAAGCAAUCUACAGAGAGAUGGAGCAAAAAUAAUUAGAAGAACAGGAUCUGCAAAAGUUCAAUCAGGAUUUAUAGAUACAAACAGAAAAGGCCCUAUCAUUCACCCACAAUCUGCAAGCAAAGCCAAUGCCUUUAUACAAGCUCAGGGUAAACUAAUCAUACCUCAACCUCCUCCUAAACCUGUAUCAAAUAUUAGAAGUAGUAAAAAUGUUCAAGGGUCUCAGUAUCAAUCAGUAAUGCCGCAAAAUUCUCAAAACCUUAUUACACAUGACUGUUUUAAUUCAAAAUAUGUGCUUCCCAUAGAAUACAGUUUCAAUCAAUGGCAUCAAGAAAGUAGCCCCCCACUCUCAGAUGCUUGUUCUGACCUGGUCACUGUGAUACCAUCUUUACCCUCUUACUAUUCUUCCCAGUGCCAAACUUUAGCAAAAACAAAUCAUUCAAACAGUACUCAAAUUUUUGCCCAGCAAGAUGGAACAUUAUAUUGCACCCAAAAAACUCCUGUUUUUGAAGAAAGUUAUCAGUCUGUGACUCUUAAAACUACUGAGCAAGAAUCUAUUCCCUCGUGGACAAAAAGGAAUAAUAUCCUGCACCAAAAUAAGAGGACCUCUGAAUUUUCAUAUGAUGCUAGUCAUUUGAUGAGAGAUACUAGUGAUUCUGCUGUUAGAAGAAAACGAAUUGUUGAAAAUAAUCAGAGUCUUUCAGACCAGAAAAGAAAAAACCCUGGAUCUGUAACACAGAAAUACAGUGAGCAAAUGAAUAAUUUUGGACAAAGUGUCCAUCUAAGUUCAAGUGAUCCAAAACAAACUACAAGGGGUACUUCUAAUACUGAAGAAGUUUCAGAUAGUACUUCUGAGUUUUUGAUGGCUGAAAAUCUGGUGAAAGCUUCAGUGCCUGAAGAUGAAAUUUUAACUGUCCUGAAUAACAAGCAACUACAGAAAUCAAAUCUGGCUUUAAAUAAGGCCCAGCGGUUCAACAUCUGUGCACUAUCAGCUGAAGAACAGAGGAUCCUGCAGUCCCUUGACCAUCUCAAUGAAAGACUACACUAUGUACAAGAAACCAUUUGCAAAAGUCCAUCCAUCAAAAAUAUGUUACAAAUAAUACCACUUCUGAACAGCCAAGCAAAGGCCAAUCCACCUCCUGAUGUUGGAUCCAGAUUGCAAAGAAAAUUCUGAUGACGUAUGACAGCAGCUUUUUAGUGGAAUCACUAUUCCUGAUAAUCUCCGGCUGUCUAUAUAAUGGAGAUGUCAACAAGGGGUCUUGUUAUCAACUCUACAUGUUUGAUAGUUAAUGUUAUCACUUUAUGCCAGGGUAAUUAGUCUCUAAAAAAUUCACCACACUUGAAAAAUCCAAAGGGAUCAAAUAGUAAACAUGAAAAAUAAACUGCAACCCCAACAGGAUAGCUUGAGUCUCCUAGUCAGUAUGUUUGGGAAACCAGAUUUAUAAGGUUGUUUAAGGCAAACAGGGUCUCUGAAGACAUUAGUGUUUGAUGACAGUUUUAUUCAUGGGUUCAUGACAUAAUUGUUUUUAUAAACUUUUACAAAAGACUUGAUCUUUGACUGUUUGGCAUUUUCUUCUUCCAUGGAAGUUAUACAUAAUGAAGUAUUAGUCAACCAUAAAGAAGAAUAAACUUGAGUCAUUUGUAUAAAAGUGG